GCUCCUGUGGCCUAGUGGUUAAAGCGUCCGUCUCGGAUGCUUGAAGUCGUCGGUUCGAACCCCGGCCGAGCC